rnacentral:rRNA from 1 species
AUUGAACGCUGGCGGCAGGCUUAACACAUGCAAGUCGAGCGGGGUGAUGGUGCUUGCACUAUCACUUAGCGGCGGACGGGUGAGUAAUGCUUAGGAAUCUGCCUAUUAGUGGGGGACAACAUCUCGAAAGGGAUGCUAAUACCGCAUACGUCCUACGGGAGAAAGCAGGGGAUCACUUGUGACCUUGCGCUAAUAGAUGAGCCUAAGUCGGAUUAGCUAGUUGGUGGGGUAAAGGCCUACCAAGGCGACGAUCUGUAGCGGGUCUGAGAGGAUGAUCCGCCACACUGGGACUGGAACACGGCCCAGACUCCUACGGGAGGCAGCAGUGGGGAAUAUUGGACAAUGGGGGGAACCCUGAUCCAGCCAUACCGCGUGUGUGAAGAAGGCCUUAUGGUUGUAAAGCACUUUAAGCGAGGAGGAGGCUCUUUUGGUUAAUACCCAAGAUGAGUGGACGUUACUCGCAGAAUAAGCACCGGCUAACUCUGUGCCAGCAGCCGCAGUAA